rnacentral:rRNA from 1 species
UCUGAAUCUGCGNACGGCUCCGCAAACCAGUUGUAAACCAGCGUGAAUUCGCCUGGGUCUGCCUCUCACGGGGUGGGCCCGGCUUAUAUGGAUAUCCCUGGCAAUUCUGAGGUUAACACAUGCCAUUAAAACCUGCUUGACCUGGGGGUCUGGUGCGUACCGCAAGGCGGCGCCGCUCGGGGAAGGCGGGGGGCGUGUGGAGAGCUCGGAAGACACCGGGAAGGGGCACACGUUCAGACCUAUACCUAUAUGGGGGGGCAGGGCGAGGGCUAACGAACGACCCUUUAGCUCGGUCCCCUUUGGUGGUCACACGGUGCUUCUGACCUAUCAACUAGACGGCAG